GACGAACGCUGGCGGCGUGCCUAAUACAUGCAAGUCGAACGCUUCCUUCCUCCCGAGUGCUUGCACUCAAUUGGAAAGAGGAGUGGCGGACGGGUGAGUAACACGUGGUAACCUACCCACCAGAGGGGGAUAACACCUGGAAACAGGUGCUAAUACCGCACAACAGUUUAUGCCGCAUGGCAUAAGAGUGAAAGGCGCCUUCGGGUGUCGCUGAUGGAUGGACCCGCGGUUCAUUUGCCAGUUGGUGAGGUAACGGCUCACCAAGGCCACGAUGCAGAGCCGACCUGAGAGGGUGAUCGGCCACACUGGGACUGAGACACGGCCCAGACUCCUACGGGAGGCAGCAGUAGGGAAUCUUCGGCAAUGGACGAAAGUCUGACCGAGCAACGCCGCGUGAGUGAAGAAGGUUUUCGGAUCGUAAAACUCUGUUGUUAGGGAAGAACAAGGACGUUAGUAACUGAACGUCCCCUGACGGUAUCUAACCAGAAAGCCACGGCUAACUACGUG
rnacentral:rRNA from 1 species